GCCUGCUCCUAGUGUGUACGCCGUGGCUGGUGCCGUCAGUGCAACCAUUGCAGAGCCCUCGCCUGCCAGCGGGGCAGCCCUUGCCUGAACAGAAGAUACUCUGAAAGGGUGAUAUUUGCCAAGACCACUGCUGCCUCCCUGCUCCCACCACAAAAGACCGGCGCUGUGCUUGCUCUUCCUCAGUCCUCUGGCACCCUCCCUAGUUUGUCAAGAUACUUCAAAAAUAACUGAAUUCUUGAGUUUGCCAUUGAUUCCUACGCCCCAAUAGGACAAGCUUCAUUUAGCUUUGCUGAACUUUCUUCAUGCUGUUUAUCUAACCAGUCCUCUAUGCCAGUCUGAGCUGUCAUAUAACAUUUUCAUUUCCUUGUAGUUCUCUAUUAUUUCCUUGGAAAAGAAAUAUUAAAAGAAGAAAAGCAGUCAUUAGGUAGAUUUUUAAAAAUCCCAUUUCCAAUAGCUGUCUUGAUUAAAGUUACUUUAUGUGCA